rnacentral:rRNA from 1 species
CGCUGGCGGCGUGCCUAAUACAUGCAAGUCGAACGAGUUCUCGUUGAUGAUCGGUGCUUGCACCGAGAUUCAACAUGGAACGAGUGGCGGACGGGUGAGUAACACGUGGGUAACCUGCCCUUAAGUGGGGGAUAACAUUUGGAAACAGAUGCUAAUACCGCAUAGAUCCAAGAACCGCAUGGUUCUUGGCUGAAAGAUGGCGUAAGCUAUCGCUUUUGGAUGGACCCGCGGCGUAUUAGCUAGUUGGUGAGGUAAUGGCUCACCAAGGCGAUGAUACGUAGCCGAACUGAGAGGUUGAUCGGCCACAUUGGGACUGAGACACGGCCCAAACUCCUACGGGAGGCAGCAGUAGGGAAUCUUCCACAAUGGACGCAAGUCUGAUGGAGCAACGCCGCGUGAGUGAAGAAGGCUUUCGGGUCGUAAAACUCUGUUGUUGGAGAAGAAUGGUCGGCAGAGUAACUGUUGUCGGCGUGACGGUAUCCAACCAGAAAGCCACGGCUAACUACGUGCCAGCAGCCGCGGUAAUACGUAGGUGGCAAGCGUUAUCCGGAUUUAUUGGGCGUAAAGCGAGCGCAGGCGGUUUUUUAAGUCUGAUGUGAAAGCCCUCGGCUUAACCGAGGAAGCGCAUCGGAAACUGGGAAACUUGAGUGCAGAAGAGGACAGUGGAACUCCAUGUGUAGCGGUGAAAUGCGUAGAUAUAUGGAAGAACACCAGUGGCGAAGGCGGCUGUCUGGUCUGUAACUGACGCUGAGGCUCGAAAGCAUGGGUAGCGAACAGGAUUAGAUACCCUGGUAGUCCAUGCCGUAAACGAUGAAUGCUAGGUGUUGGAGGGUUUCCGCCCUUCAGUGCCGCAGCUAACGCAUUAAGCAUUCCGCCUGGGGAGUACGACCGCAAGGUUGAAACUCAAAGGAAUUGACGGGGGCCCGCACAAGCGGUGGAGCAUGUGGUUUAAUUCGAAGCAACGCGAAGAACCUUACCAGGUCUUGACAUCUUUUGAUCACCUGAGAGAUCAGGUUUCCCCUUCGGGGGCAAAAUGACAGGUGGUGCAUGGUUGUCGUCAGCUCGUGUCGUGAGAUGUUGGGUUAAGUCCCGCAACGAGCGCAACCCUUAUGACUAGUUGCCAGCAUUUAGUUGGGCACUCUAGUAAGACUGCCGGUGACAAACCGGAGGAAGGUGGGGAUGACGUCAAAUCAUCAUGCCCCUUAUGACCUGGGCUACACACGUGCUACAAUGGAUGGUACAACGAGUUGCGAGACCGCGAGGUCAAGCUAAUCUCUUAAAGCCAUUCUCAGUUCGGACUGUAGGCUGCAACUCGCCUACACGAAGUCGGAAUCGCUAGUAAUCGCGGAUCAGCACGCCGCGGUGAAUACGUUCCCGGGCCUUGUACACACCGCCCGUCACACCAUGAGAGUUUGUAACACCCGAAGCCGGUGGCGUAACCCUUUUAGGGAGCGAGCCGUCUAAGGUGGGAC